UUUAUGUGUAUGUAUAUGUGCAUGUGCCUGUGUAUGUGUGGUCAUAUGCUACAUACACACAUGUGCCCAUGGAGACCAGAAGAGGACAC
rnacentral:miRNA from 1 species